UUUAAAGAGAGUUUGAUCCUGGCUCAGGAUGAACGCUGGCGGCGUGCCUAAUACAUGCAAGUCGAACGAACGGAGGAAGAGCUUGCUCUUCCAAAGUUAGUGGCGGACGGGUGAGUAACACGUGGGCAACCUGCCUGUAAGUUGGGGAUAACUCCGGGAAACCGGGGCUAAUACCGAAUGAUA
rnacentral:rRNA from 1 species